GGUUCCUGGAUUCAAGUCUUGACUCUAAGUAACCUUGGACAAGUCGCAAUGCCUCUCCACGCCUCGCUUUCCUUUUUAAUUUUAAUUUUUGUUGUUGUUGUCAAAUGGAUGGGGGCUCAGAAUCUCUGCUCGAUGAUGUGGAUGUGAGGAUGAAAGUGAAUUUCGUUGGCGAUGUGUCUAGAACGGCACCUGGUCCACGAUGCCCGUGAUGGCUGUCUGUUUGGGGGCUGCUGGGAAGAGAUCUUUGAGUCUGGGCUUCGCUUCCUUGGGGACAGGUGGUGGUAGCUCACUUAUAGGUGCAGUGGAAGAAGGCUGAGAGGUAGGCGCUGGUGGGGAAGGAAAAGCAAGAGUUGGGGGGAAGGAGAGAGAACACGGCAACACACCAGCUAGUACAACUUCUCUUCACUGUGGCGGAAAGAAAAUUAGGGGGUUGCCACACUGUCCUCAUCUAGCAGCAAUUCAGCAAAAAGGGCUGUCUUGCUCUGGCCGUGUUGAGCAAUUCUGGCCCCACCCCUCCUCUCUCCCCAUACCCUCUGUUACUGAAAACGCGGAGAACGAAGGCAAGGUUCCCUUCUUUAAUGACAGAAACACGGGACCAUGUGGAGCUUCAGCUUGCUCCUCUUCUGGGGGUGUUGUGGUUUAUACAGCUCACGUAUUCUCUCAACAAGAUCCGCGACAAUUGGUGAGUUGAAUGAAUGUGUG